GGCAGAAAUCAACAUAGCCCAUGUGAUCCACCGCAGUCUGGACCACAUGUCAGGCCACAUUGUCGUGGACAUCGAGGACAUCAUAGAGAUUAUAGCCGCCAUGGCCAUAAAGGUCACAGAUUUAGUGGUCAUGGACACGGACCAUGUGGCCACCACAGACACCAUCACGUACACAGCUACCAUGGUCAACACGGAGAGUUUUUCGGGCACCUUUAUUGGAGACCAUGGGGAAGAUUUGAAAACUUUGAAAGACGUUGGUUUGGUGAAGCUUCUAGACCAUGCUGCGGCCACUGUCCAGAAGACAAAAGAAGACCUGGUCGAUGUCAAAGAAAUAGAGAAGAAAAUGCCACAGAGGAAACUGUGUUGGUGCGAGGCAUUGUGAUUCAAGAAGACAGAAGGCCAAAUUCAGUUUGAAUGGAUGAUAUGACUAUCAACGGCAUAAGGCAUGUUUAAAUAUUGAACUCAUUUAGAUGAGACUUGUCAGAUGUAUAUUGUCAAAUAUACAUAAUAUAUCACAUAAAAUAAGCAGAAAUAAUAUCACAGGGGUUUUAAUGGGAAAGAAUCCCACAAUAUCCGGUUCUACCCCAAGAGCCGGGCAUCUUUUUGAAGAUUUCCCAUGUGUAAGCAAAAAAAAUUAGGAAUAAUAAGCAUAAAAGAUAUAUGUAUCAUAUAAACUAAAGCAAGUAAGAAAGACGCAGACUUCUAAGUGUCUUUAUAUAUACUUAUAUGAAUAAAAAAUCUUAAAAAAAAUCAAUAAUAUCUAAAUAUCUUAAGUAUAAGUUCUUAGAUUAUUUGUAUAUGCCUUGAUACAAGCAAAAACAGAAGAUAACAAAGAAUAAGCAAAAGGAUGAAUCAGACAAAAACAUUCAAUAAAACAUUACAAAAUAAAAACUAUAUUGUG